rnacentral:lncRNA from 1 species
CGCAGGUACCAAUAUUUAUUAAAGAAGAAUCUCCAUGAAACUUCUAAGCUUCCGUGUGGUACUUUUUAACCUCGCUAAAAUAGAAUCGAAGCUCCACCGAAUGAAGAGGCUGGAGAAUGAAGUGAUGUUUCCGGAGCAUGUAAAUCAAGAGUUUUGUCUGUGAGAGCGGUAAACGAAGGUAGGUUGAAGGGAUUUGGCGAAGUUCGCGGAUGAGGUUGUUGAGGUAGGUGAUUAUAGAGUUUUUUCGGCGGUGGGGUCGGAAAUGGAGGUGGUGAAGGGUCGGUUUUGGUUUUGGAAGAAGAUCAAAGGAGAUGAGGUGAGGGAGGCGCGGUUGAGCGGGUAUUUCCGGCGAAAGUUAAAGAAUGAACGACGAUGAUGAAGGGCGACCGACAGAUGGAGUAGCGAGGAAGAAGAGGGUAGGUGUGAUGAAGAAUUUUAAAGGGGGUUUAUAGGUUACCGCGGCGGUGCGAGGUUGUGAGCGGUAGUUGAGAGGGUUUGGGGUUGUUGUUGAGUGAAGGUGGAAGAAAGAGGGUCUUUUGGGUUGUUGGUUCUGGGGGAAAGAAGAAGAUGAUUUUUUUGUUUUUUUCGUUGUGGGUAUGUUGUCACUUAGUAAGAAGAAAGAUUUUUUUAUUCGGGUGAGUGUAUUCCCCCCCCCCCCCCCNCCCCCCCCCCCCUCCCCUCCCUUUCGUUGGGACACCUGUCCUUACAUCAAUGGUUCCAAUUUUUAAAAUAAAACUUAUUACUCCAAUCCACACGUGCCACGUGUUUAUUGAGAGAAGAGGAAGAGAUAUUUUUAUUAUUCUGAUUUUCUUUAUUUAAUUAAUUCAAUUAAUUGCUAUUUCUUGAUUGGUGGAUAACAAAUAAUGAAGAUAAUGCAUGUGAGCCUUUGAUUAAAUUCGAAUCGACGAUCCAAAUUUAAAUCAAAUAAGCACAUUUAAUUUAAAAUGGAAAAGUUGCCCCUUUUAGAUAAUUUAAUUGAUCUAAAAUAAUUUAAACCAAUAAAAUAAAAUAAAAUUCAUAACUUCUAAAAUGAAUAUGAUAAAAAUAAAAUAAGAUAUAGAAAAUUCUAUUUAUUUAUUAUUUGAAUAUUUUGGCGAAAGAACAAAAUUAAAACAACUAAAAAUGAAUAAAAGUCGGGCGAAAAUUUGCUCGAAAAACUAAAUCGGACGCACUAAAGUGAUCAACACAAAAUAUACUUAUUGAAAAAAUACUGCAUUUCUUUUAAUUUUGAAAUAAAUUUUCACCGGUUAAAAGGCUCAAACGGAUUAAAAUGUAGUUGAAGAAGUCGUUGAAAAAUAUAAUGAGCACAGCAGACUGAACUAUGUGAACCGUAGAUUAAUGAUACUGGCGUCUGCAAGUUUAAUUUCGAAACUUUUUACCCGCUGAUUUUGUACGUUCUUCAGAAAUGCUUUAACCAAAUUAUCUGUAUAUUCAAUAAUUUAUUCCCACUGAUAUUUUAGACAUUAUUCAUGAUGAAGUGCAGGUUAUGUUGUACAUAUGAUGCAAACUGAAAUUAAAAUUGUAUUUAUGAAAUUUUAAAAUGUUCGAACAAAAUUGGGGUAUGACAGGUUUGAUUCUCAGUUUUAAUUUGUUAGGAACCGACAAAUCAAUGAGUCGAACCAAUGAUAUAAUUAUGCUCUAAAUCUUUUAUUCCACCCAUCAUUAAGCCCAAAUUUUAUAUCGGUCAAAUUAUAAUCCAUCUUUGUUUACGUUUAAUUCCUUUUAGAAAAACACGAAUAUAGAACCAAACUCCCAAACAUAGAAAGUAAAAAUAAUAUAAGUCACAAAAACUUUUUUUCAUUGAGUUGCUGCUCUCGCUUCCUUCCACCACUAUUAUUCUCUACCGUCGUUAUGUUAUUGUUGUCUUCUUCGUGUUAAAGUUCUCUGUGUUAGUUCUCAUAUUUUUUUAAAAAAAUUGUUUCUUCUUCAACAAAAUUCCUUCUAGUAUUGUUACAAUAUAUAUAUAUAUUAUAUUAUUUUAUCUAUAAAUUCAUUAUAACCGUUGUGAAAUAUUAUCCCCUCAAUUAAAAGUAACAACCGUGGGGAAAAAUCCACACGCCUAAAUACCAAAAUGAUUUUAUUGAGAAAUGAACUCAUGAUCAAACAACUUUUCACCUCAGUUAGCAUGUUCAAUCAUGAGAAAAAAUGCAUGCUAUUCAUUUUUUUACCCCCACCAUUAGUUCAAAGGAUUAAAUUUUAGAUUUUAAAAGAAUAUUCAUCCGGAAAUAAAGAACAUUAAAUAAUUUCUUGUUUCCGAAACCAUCAAAUUGUCUUACAGAACAUCAAAAUACAAUUUUUUAGACAUGAAAUCUAUAAGUUAACAUGUGGUUAUAACAUAAAAAUAUAGAUUUUGAAGUAUGUUAAAAAAAUUACAAAUGAAAAUAUAGUUAUUUUUACAGGUGUGUGGAAUUAAAAAUAAGGUAAUAUAGAUGAAUUGGAUAUAUGUCAUUGUUAUAUUGUUUAUUUUCUUACUAUCAUUUUAAAGUACAAACUAAAAUCGUAAAUACAAGGUUCAUGAAAUCAGAAAACUAAAAAAAAAAAUGUUUGAACAAUAAAUAAAUGCUAUUUUAGAAGAUAAAUUUUAUCAUAAUAUAUUAUUCAUUUAUUUUUUAUUGAUACUUUUCCAUUUAACAUAUCUUAAGAUCUUUAAUCCUGAUAUACAAUACGGCAAAACAGAUUGAUGCAUUUAACAAUUUUGUGAUAAUAUAAUUCUCUAGGACAAUCUUGAUCAACUUCACAUUCGUAAGGAAGUAACUUGUAUCUUUCUGAAAUGAAAAGAGAUUAUAAAGUAAUAUUAGAAAAUUUAAUGAAAUAUUAUAUACAAACUUGAAAGUUUAAAAUAAAUUAGGAAAUUUUUUUAUAAAUAUAGUGGUUUACCAACAGCAUGUGAUGUUGUAACAAAUUAUAAAACAUAAAAAAUCCAAAUAUAAAAUAAUUUGAGAAUUUCAGCCAUUUUAAACUUUACUUUACUUGUAAAAUAUAUAGCAUAGUUUGAUCUUUUUAUAGCAUGUAAUGUUCAUAUUCUUAAAUAUUUAUUUAAUUUUAGUUUUAUCCCUUACGAAGUUGUAAAAAUAUUUUAGAAAAUUAUAAUCAUAAUUAAAUGUCUCUUAAUUUUAUAAAUGUGUUGCGUUUGUCCCUUCAAGCUACCUAAUAAGGAGGUUACAUAAUAAUAAUAAUAAUAAUUAUUAUUAUUAUUAUUAUUAUUAUUAUUAUUAUUAUUAUUAUUAUUAUUAUAUUUAAUGAUUCAAGCAACUUUUUUGUUCCAUGCAUGAUCAUGGAUAGACACUUUAAAAUAUCCUUGUGUAACUUUGAGUCAUGUAUAAGUUUAAUGACCUAAUAUGUGUUCAAAAUGUUGAGUAAUAACGAGAUAAUGGCAAUUAGCUUCGCUGCUUCUUUUGCAGACCAAUUAAAAUUAAGACCGAUAUGAUGAUUAAGAAAAUGUAAUAUUAUAAAAUGGGUAUUUGAUUAUGGUAUUGUAGAUAUAUUGAAGGAUUUGAAUACCAUAUUUGAUUAUGGUAUUGUAGAUAUACAAGUAGAAUAUGUUUUAAUGAAUAUUCUAAAAAUGUUAAUACUAUAUGAAAUUUUUUUAGUGAUGCAUUGAUGGAUGAAGAAUGCUAUGCACAGAUGAAAAAACAAUAGUUCGCUGUAAGAAAUUAAUGAAAUUUUUUACGCAAGAUAUUCAAAUGCAAAAAAAAAAUCAUCUCAACAAAUGUCAUGAUGCAUAUGAUUACACAAAAAAAUCAGAUAAAUGAAAUGAUCUAGAUGAAAAUACAAUGUAGAUAUGAAUGAGAUAUAUUAUGCACACAUAACAAAUACAUAAUACAUACACAAAAUACAUUAAACAGACAAAUAUCAACAAAUAAUUAAAGGCGCGCUAAUAGAAGGUGAAGGAGCGUAGAACGAUCAUACAAAUUUGAUGAUUUAGGCUCUAAUUGCUGCACAAGUAAUGGUUAGUAUAAAAAACUUAAGUAAAAGGACAAUACGACCAAAACAAAAUAUAAUUGAAUAUGUCUUUUCCAAAAUCAGAAAGUUUUCAAAACUGAGUUGCGAGCGGAAGGUUUGAAGCAAAAAUGGAAAUUAUACAGUUGAUUAUGAUCACACAAACACACAGUUCAUUUCAUAAAUAUCCAAGAUUAUAAACAAUGAAACAUUUGAUAUGAAUUGAUUCAAGUUGUGUAGUUACAAGAAGUGUACAUAAUUGAUUCAAUAUGUGAAAUCCUAAAUUCAAUCAGUUUUUAGAUUUAUCAAUUACAAUACUAGCUUAACUAGUUAUCCAGUUCUAACAAAAUCUUAGCUUUAUGUAAUUAAUCAUUAUUAAGAACAAAAUAAUAUAAUACGAAGGAAUUGGAAAACCUAGCAUGAAAUAACUACGAUUAUAAAUGCAAGAGUAGAGUUAGAGAGAUGACACCGAGAUUUAUAGUGCUUCGACGCUUGUCCUCACUUGACCUACAUGCACUCUUCAAUGAUUUUCCAUUGAAGCAUGCAUAGUUCCUUGUUAUUUGAAAAAUAUUUCCAAGAGUUCAUACAAUCACCAAUCCACAAUUACGGUUGAGAAAAUAAAUCUCCUAAUUUGGAUCUUGACUUGUAUCUAGCAAACUUGUCAAACUCUUCUACAUAAUAUUUACUCGAAUAUGUUUCUUGAACCUUCAAAUAACACCAAUUCUGGUCCAAACCUUCGCGUGUAGCUAUCAACCCCUUAAACCUAUCGAUUCCUUGAGCGGUGAUAUUAUCCGAAGAUCCGAGAAGAACUCCUCCUUAUGUAUAGCCUUCACCAUAGUUACUAAUAAUGCAAUGAUGGAAAGAAGAACCUACUUCUUUUCAAUGGAAUUUUUCACCACCAUAGACAAUCCCCCUUUCUAACUAACAAAUUGAAAACUCACUAAGAUCUCAAGAAAAAUUGUUUUCAAGUGCGUGUCUCCUUCAAUCAAUCUCAUAACUUUUGUUAUCAAGAUGUGAACUCAAUUGAAAUGAAGAUGUGAGAAAUUUGUAGCAAGAAUUUGAACACUCAAAAUAGAGGAAAUUAAUUUUCAUACAAAAUCACUGUCAUACCCCAAUUUUGUCCGGGCAUUUUAAUUUCUUUUAUAAAUUCGAUUUUAAUUUCAGUUUGCAUCAUUUAUAUGCAUUUCAUCAUAAAUAAUACCUAAAAUAUCAGUCGAAAUAAAUUCUUGAAUAUACGGACAAUUUGGUUGAAUCAUUUCUCAGGAAUAUGCAAAAAUUGGCGGGUAAACAGUUUCAAAAUUAAAAUUGCAGACGCCAGUAUUAUUAAUCUACGGUUCACGUAGUUUGCCCUGGUGUGCUCGUCGCAUUUUUCAGCAACGGUUUCAAUUGCGUUUUGACCCGCCUGAGCCUUUUAACCGGUGCAAAUUUAUUACAGAAUUUGAAGAAACGCUGUAUUUUUUCAAUAAGUUUAUUUCGUGUUGACCAUUUUAGUGCAUCCGAUUUAAUUUUUAGAGCAAAUUUACAUCCGACUUCUAUUUACAAUCAAUCCUUUUAUUUCUUUGUUCAAGUAUCCAAAUUAGAAAUUGUUUUAUUAUUAAUAUUAUUCAAAUUGAAAUAUAAGUUAGAAAAUUUUAAUAAGCAUUUUCUUUAAAAUAAUAAUUGUUGUCAAAUGAAAUAAACUGACAACAUCAGAUUCCUUGGCCAGUUGACAGCUAGCACCUCAUAAUAUCUCUCUUUCCCCACGAAUGAGAAGGAGACAACCAAUGAACUUUUGGGAUUCCCAAUCCAUCAAUAUGACUAGCUUUAUUUUUGAAAAAGGUAGAAAAACGAAAAAAGAUAGGGUGGAUGGACCACUGAAUCUUUUAAAAGAUCUUCUCUCAACGGUACACUAAUGACUCUCUUUUCUUCCAAUGGUAAGAUAGAAAAAUAAAUAAAAAGGACAACUCUCUCUCUCUCUCUCUCUCUCUCUCUCUCUCUCUCUGUUUUAACAAUUCUCUCUCUAAGCUCACACCACUCACUCUCUCAGUAAAGGAAAAGAAAAUAAAAAGACAAAAAAUCCCUAAAACAUCCUCUUCCUCUUUCCAGCAUUUGAGUUUGAGAAAUGAGAUAAGGAUAUCCCCAACUACUUGGUUCCACUUCCACUCUGCUCUAAUGGCUACAUCUUUUUUCUUCUGUCAUCCACAUAUCUUUCCUUGACCCCAAAACAACGCGAACAAGAUUCUCCAUCGCCACUCCAACCUUAAAAUCUCAUAGAAAUUCUUCACCAUUUGUUCCAAAUCCACUCUCCUUCAACCGCGCACCACCGUGCACAACCUCCAUCGCCGUCGCGCACACCCAUGCUAAUUCCGGCCACCACCCACCUCUGUUUCACCGUGAACUUCCUGUGCCCACCACCAAAACCAUACUUCGUAACCGCCAAACCACCGCCUGCAGCACCAUCAGCAACUUCCGCUUCCUUCCAUCUUAAAGCAUUUCUUCUUCACCUCCAACACCACAGAUCCGCUUUUCACAACAGCCUUCCGCCGCCGCCUCUGUCGGCAUCCCUCAACACCCUCCUUCCAAACUUCGCCUCUUCCGCACUUCACCUCCAACACCACGGAUCCUCUUUUCACAACAGCCUUUCGCCGCCGCCUCCGUCGGCAUCCCUCAACAUCCUUCUUCCAAACUUCGCCUCUUCCGCACUUCAUUUCCGCCACCGCGCCAUUCACAACCUCUCGCCGUAAAUCAUGUUUCUCCUUCGACAUCUCUCUCCGCCGCAAAACAACAUUGUAUCCGCCGUUGAAUCCAAAAUCUUCUGUCAACAACACAUGCAUUUCCUUCCUUGAAUGCAUUGUUAGAAGGCUUAUGUGGAAAAGCAGUUUCCACUGUGGAGUUUAUGUGGUGCUGUGAGAGGAUUCUUCUUCCUGUCAUUGCCGACUCAAAGGUUAUGAUGAAUUAUCUUCCGUAUACAUUGGCUGAUCUGAAAUAAAUUAAUUAGCUAAAUUUUGGUUAACUAGUUAAUAGCGAUUAAUCUAUUUUAAUUAUAAAUAAAGUAAAUUGACUAGUUAAAUUUUGGUUAAUUAGUAAAUUAUGAUUAAUCUGUUUUAAUUACAAUCAAAAUAAAUAAAUUAGUUAAUAUUUGGUUAAUUAGUUAUUUCCAAUUAAUUAAUUUUAAUUAAUUUGUUUAUUUGAUUUAAUUAAUUAAUAUUGGUAAUUGAUUUUAAAUAACCUAAUUAAUUAAUUUAACCUAAAAAUCUUAAUGAAUUAAUUUUCGAUAAUUACGAAUGGGUCAAUUUCUCAUAUUAUCACAAUUUUAAACUCAUUUACAAAAAUCACUUCAAUUUCAUCAUUAAUUCAAAACCAUGAUAAAAUCAUUUAAAAUCACACAAUUCUUGAUUCAAUAUUUGUAAGUCGAUCGCUUUUAAGCAUCGGCGUCAACCUCACAUAGCUUACUCUUGGGCUUUCUUACAAUGAGACCUAUUCGAUUUUAAUCAAGUAGAUGAUUGAUUCACUAAAUAAAUUUCGAUUUAUUAACGAGCACAAAUUUAAAACCUCGAUCCAAUGUCGAGUAUUUUCUUUCAAACUCAAUCGAAAUACCCAACCACAAUCAAACACCAUUUCAUUUGGAAAUGAAAAGGGGGAUGGCUUUGAGUUUUCAAGAUAAACGUUACUCCUUAUGACAUUCCAAACAACUUUCAUGUUUAGGUCAAGAGCUAUUUUUUCUUGUAAAGUCAUUUGUUAUGGUGAAAGAUUAUAGGUCAUUUUGUCUGUAUCCUAGUUAGGAGGUCAACUUCCAAAGACCAUAACUUGCUCAAUUAUUAUGAUAUGAAGGCCAUUCAAGUUCCAUGAUCAAAUUCAAGAUGUAUUAUCCAACUUUGAUUCUUUAAGAAACUUAAAAUUCAACUUGCAAGGGCAUGUGCCAAGAGGAAACAUUAUAGGUCAUCUUGGGCCAUUCCCAAACUUCCACCUCAAAUUCAUCAUGAUCCAAGCUUCAAAUGAAAAAGUGUUCAACAUUAAAGUUAUUCCCCUUGAUCUCACCUUUUCAAAAAGUCCAAAAUCACUUCAUUUGUCCAAGUAUUGAAUGACUUGCGCAUGCCUUUUCUUCAAGGUUCCAUUUGGAUGAAUUUCAUGACCACUUUUCAAUUCCAAAUGCAUGGCUUCAUGUCACACUUUCAGCACCAUCCUGAUCAACUUUGGAACUUUUGACAUCACUUCAUGGGCCUAUCAUACACCCAUGCAUCCAUGCAAGUGAGAAUUGAUAUUUUUGGCAUUUGAUUGAAAGAGUGUGGAAAUCAAUUGUUUAGCCUAUAAAUAUAUUGCCUCAUGCUCAGAAUGAGGACACUUUGCCCAAGCUUUGAUCCUGCAACCCUACCCCUCACCAUUAGAGGAUAAACUUUAAGGAUUUCAAUUGAAAAUCGAGUUUCAAUUUCACUUCUGUUUUGAAGUUGAAACUCCAAGAAUCCAAGCCAUUCUUUGAUCCAAUUCACUUCAUGCAAGCUUCUGAAGCAGAGAAUUGAUUUUUAAUAGAUUAAAUGUUUAAAAAUAUUGUUGAGUCAUUUUUAUGGUCUUGUGAUGUUUGACUUUCUGUUUGGGCCUUGGUCAAGGUUGAUUUGACUUUUGUUGGAUCAAAAUCAUUGAAUUUAGGGGAUUGAUGAAAUGUACAUUUCACCUUCCAAAAUGAAUGAAUGGUUUUCAUUUGAUGAAAUUCCUCCCAUGACUAAUUUAUGUUUCUAUCUUCCCCUCCCUCUUCAUCUUCAUCCCUAUUCUUCCCCAUUACCUCAUUUGACCAAUGAAAUCUCUAAUUUCUAAAGGCUAAUUGAUUCAUCAAUGACCUUGUAUCAGAUGAAUCAAUACAAGUAUGAUUGAGAUAGGUCCCUCUCUCUUGAUCUUUUCUUUUAGUAUGUGGUAUGUUUUAGGAGUUUGGUUCUUCAUACCAAAUCUCUAACACGCAUUAACACCUAAGUUUUUAUUGCCCGACCUCAUAUAGUUGUGACUUCUACAUAAGUCCAAUUACGAUUGCUUAACAUAGAGUAAAAUUUGACCCUCAAGGCAUAACAUUCUAGUAAGUGAGAUUGUAAGUCUCCCAUUCUUCAUGGCAUUGUGUGGAGACAUGACCUUUUUUCCUUUCAUGGGAGCUAGUGACAUACUUGUUGAAUUAUCCAAGUUGGAGCCUUUCUCAUGGAAUGUCUUGGUUUAAGGAUUCAUACUUGUGAAUGAAUGGUUAAGUGUUCUCCAAAAAAUGACUUAAUCAAUUAAAAAUCACCACUAGUACUUGACUAACUUUUGACUCACAUUUGACUAACUCUUGUUAAUAUUGCUUUACUUUCAAGUCAUUUACUUUAUGAAAUUUAAAUUUCAAUCAUUUAUCAUUUAUCAUUUAUUGCCAUUUACAUUUCAUAUAACUCGUUUAUGUUUAUGUCAUUUUCACUUUGCUCACUUGAGCCAUACUUUAUGAUUGUAUAUAUUCUUUGUGUGUUUUGGUUUUGCUUGUGGUCUUAGGACCUUAAAAUACCUAAUAACAACAAAAACCCUAAAAAAAAUUGGUGGAUUGUUGAACUUGAUCUGAACUUUUGGUCUUAGGAUUAGGCAGCAUUCCUUGUGCAAAAAGGACUUGGCCAAUGCCAACAUUUGAGACUGAGUUAUCUUGAACUGAGCCUUCAUUUGAUGCAAACCAUGGGAUUUGUUUCAAUUCAUCUUCUACUCUGUCUUUGUGCUUAAUUGUUAUUUUGUUGUGUCUGAUGCUUUGUUCUGAGUUGAUCAAGGAAUAUUUCAUCUAAUACAUUGGAAGACAAAGAAGACUGCUAGUUAUGGGAAUUGCUUGCUUGGAUGUGGCUAUCUUUAUUUGAUGCCUUGAUCUUCAUGAUGUCUCGAUAGUGUUCAUUGCUUAUUGGUUAUGGCUUGAUUAAAGUCCAAGGGAAAAUGGGUUUCUUUAUGACAUUCUUGUCUGUUGGAUUGCAUCCCAUUGGUCAGGUCUUUUCAACUCUUAACUUUUAAAUAUGUGCUUUGGAUAAUCUCUUUAUCUCCUCCCACUUCUUAAAAUUUCAAAGUUUCUCCCAAUUUUCAAAAACUUCUCUACUUGUGAUUUUAAAAUUAGACUUUAUUUUAAUGAUUAGAAACUUUGGUCUUAUGCCAAUGAAUUUUAAAACUCUUUCUUAAAUCAAAUUUGUAAAUAAACUUAAUCAUAUUGACUUAAAAUUUCAAAAAGACAAAAAUAACUAACAACCCCAUUCAAAUUUUUGGUCCCUUGGUGCCUUUUCUUAUUUAACUUUUUUUAAAAGCAAUUCACCAACUUAUUUGAAUUUUUACCAUAAACUACGAGGUUUUGAUCCCUCAUUUUUAUGUUGGUACGUAGACACAAGACCGAAGGUCUUGUCAAACACUCUAUUUUUUCUCAAACAUCUUUUAUACCAAAAACAUAUGCACACAUAAAAAAGGGCUCCCUAGGAGUACCUAAGACACUUUGGGUGCUAACACCUUUCCUCUGUGUAACCAACCCCCUUACCUAUAAUCUCUGGUAUUUUAUUAGUUUUGAUUUGAAAUUUUUUUAUCUUUGGGUUUUGUUCGUACUUUUCCCUUUUCCUUUGGAAACAAUAAAAGCGCGGUGGCGACUCUGGUUUUAUUGACGUUAAGCUUAUCCAUAGCUUGAUGUUCAUGAAUUUACCGCUACAUAAUCCAUGGUCUUCCCAACAAGCAGCCAUAGGUUGGAUGGAUAUCCAUUACCUGGAAAGUAAUUUGAAAAUCACUCGGACCUAUCUUCACUGGAAGGUCCACUUCUCCAAUGACGGUCUUACUAGAAUCAUCAAACGCCUUGACAACUACGCCAAUGUACCUCAUCCGGGAGCCUUGGUAGGAAAGUCUUGACAUAGUUGACUUUGGCAAUACAUUCAAUGAUGACCCAGUGUCAACCAACACAUUGGACAAAGCAUCCUGCUUGCAAUUCUUAGAAAUUUGUAAUGCCAAAUUGUGAUUUCUACCUUCCUUGGGAAGUUCCUCAUCACAAAAACUCAGAUUAUUAAAGGAAGUGAUGUUGGAAACUAUGUUGUCAAACUGAUCCACGUUAACAUCAUGUUCAACGUAAGCUUGUUCCAAUACCUUCUGUAAUGCCUCUCUGUGUGCUUUAGAAUUCAUAAACAAUGAUAACACAGAGAUCUUUGACGGCGUGUGGAGAAGUUGCUCCACAACGUUAAAUUCACUUCUUUUAAUUAAUCUUAACACCUCAUCAUCAUCGUUAGCCUUCAAUUUGCUGGAUUCACCAGACUGACACAUUGGAGUACUAACCAGAUUCACUACAGGAUUAUAUGCCUUCUUACUUACUGGCAUAUCCUCCACAACUUUCGGAAACACCGAACGGAACACACGGCCGAUACGGGUCACCUUCGCAAUGUAUUCAAUAUUUACCACUGAGUCUGCAACUGGAAGAGGAACCUCUUGACCAUUCUCUAUCAUAGUGGCAUUAUACUGGUAUGACACAAAUUUAUCUGAUGCAUAAAGGACAGGGCCCGCUAACCGUAUAACCAACGGAGAUACCGAUCUAUUGACAUUAUUGUUGUUGUUGCUAUCAAACUGGAUGACUACCCGCUCAUGCGUCUUGAACAUCGUCACAAUGACAUUUACAUCAUCUCUCAUAUCCCUCUAUUAUUGAAUUUGGAUUAUAUUCUCAUCCAUCAACUUCUGGAUAUCUCUCUUGACAAUCAUACACCCACGGGGGUUCACACUGCAAAUAACACAACCAUCAUGGUCAUGUUCACAGUCACUAAUCAAACAUAAAGUUUUAUGCAUCUCCAUCAGAGAUCUUCAGAUACGCCGUACAUAAAAUCUCUUUUUAUUUAUAAAAUUGGAAGGAUUACACUAAGUACAUUUUCAAAAUACCUAGCAACUACAUCAGAUGAUCUGGCUACGGGUGCAUACUUCCUCCGGAUGCAUUGAAUAUCAUACUCAAAGGAUGUCUUCAUCUGAGCCUUCUCGAGGAUGAGAUGAUCAACAAUCUUCUUCCAAGCACCAGAAGGAUGAGGCAUGCUAGAGGUAACUAAACCCUCUGGCUUUCUCUGUCUCUUCAUUGCUCGGUCUUCAAGAAUCUCAAUAAGUGUAUCUUUGUCUUUAGACUCAAGCUGCAACUCCUCAUGCUUUUGGCUCAAAGCAUGGAACCGCUCUUCCCAUAUAGCUUUCUCUUGCUUCAUCUUGGCAAGUGCGUCUUCCAACUCCUCUAUGUCUUUGUUAGAGAGAGUUGAUGGCUCAGGCACAACCACAAACAUAGGCCUCUCACAAACAUACAACAUCUUGAGCUCCAAAUCUCUCUUCUUCACCCAAAUAGAGUAAGCUUCCAAAGCUACACAAUUGUGUGGAACAAGAUUGGAUCUUCCCUUCCUAUGCACAUUAUGCCAAGCAUGUAUCAUUGAAAUUCUGGCAUAGUCAGUAUUCAGAUGUUCUACUUCAAGUCAUGACAUCUGAUCUAACAUUGUACCUAUUACAGCAAGACAAUUAUUAUACUAUGUACUCAUGUGCACCUUUUCACAGUGUCACGACCUCUCCUUCUAUGUCAUCCUAGAAUGGAGGGACACCUAGUGGUGUGCACCUUAUCAUUCACUUCUGUUGUUUACCUACACAGAUAACAGCAAGAGAUGUCUCAAUCCUGUUUUGGACAUUAUCUGUUACAUUGUUCCAGUUUGUUGGUCAUGUACUUGUAUUUCCUAAAUUACAGGUAUAACAAGUUAAACUAAUCUCCACUUAUUAAGGAGGCUAACAAAUAGAUUAUUUGCCAGGUUCAUUAAUUGUAGCUUAGUUGUUAGUUUCCUAGAUUUUAGAUCAGCUGGUGGAUUCCUGAAGAAUAGCUGAGAAAAUCCUGAAACAGAAAAACUAACCAUCCAACAAUUUAGCAUAUGCAGUCAGGAGUGAAUGUCACAACAUUCAGUUUGAAUCCAAGUCCAGAACCAUAUGCUAAGUCUGCUUGGUUCCUGAACCCAGACUGUACUAAAUUUGUUGUACUGUAAAAGACCAACCAGUCUCUACUUCAGUAUCAGCUUACUGGAAGAACUGUCAAGACAUCCAGUUUGACAGUUUCACAAUGAUCUUUUGCCAGGUCUGUUAUGCUUUGAACUCCAGACUUCACUACAUACUGAUGAAAUCAAUCACUAUUAACAGUAUGUGCUGUUGUUGAUGAAUGUCAAAACAUUCUGAUUUGACAUUCCAACAGAAGGCUAUGUACCAGGUCUGGCUAUUAUCUUGAUGAACAGACUGGAAUACAUGUAGUUAUGGCAGACAUGAUUAUAUCAUACAGAAGGAAAACAACCACAGGAAAUUGUUAACCAGUUCAGUCCAACAUGACCUACAUCUGGGGGCUACCAAGCCAGGAAGAAGAUCCACUAUUAGCAGUAUCAAUUCAGAGUUAACCUCACCCUUUUACAACUCAUCACUUAAUCCUACCCAAUGCAAUCUAUACCUAGGAACUCCUAGAUAGAAACCUCCAGUUUCCAUUCCUAUCACUACAAAUACAAUGUAGUGUUACCACACCUUGAACUUGCUUCACAGCUUCAUUCAAGAACAAAAUCACUCUUGCCUACAGGCUUCGAGUUACAAACACUCUCAGGUUUUACCACUGAGAAACACAUGGUAACCUUCCCACAGAUUGGGAGGUUACCUACACACACCCCUAAAAAUUCAUUCUAAGAGGCUUACAAAAACUAGAUUACAAUCAGCUAUUUAAAACCUAAUCACCCAACUGGAUUUGGGCCUUAGAAAGUUGCAGCGGACUUGUUCUUUGCUGUUGCAACUUCAGCAGAAAAAUCUGCUACAAACAAGGUCUUCAGUUCCUAAACUCUCUCCAUAUAUAUCUCCAUAUUUAGAGCCUAUAUAUCUUCUGAUUGAGUCUUCAAGACCUCCACACUGGGAGUUAGGAUAUUCACCAGAUAUCCUUGCUGAUCCCCAGAACCAUAUACUGAAUUAAUUAAUUCAGUUUUCUACACACGUGCGAUGUCACAGACCUGAUGUCGUGACAUCGUACAUGACAUGUUGGUCCAGAUGUUGAAUUUCUUCACCCCAACAUAAUUAAAACACCAGAGAUGAUUACAUUAUUUGUUUUCUAAAAUUAAUGCCAAUCCUAAGGAAUCAACAAAUCUCCCCCUUUGGCAAAAUUUUAGCUAAAACAAAUAACAAUACACUGGACAAAACAUCCCAAUUUGGGAAUGCUCUUCAUCUCCGUCCAUUGGCUCCACCACCACACAACACCAAGUUGGUGUACAUGGGGAAGAAGAGGGACAAGACUUGAGUUGUACCAGAACCCCCCUCAACCGGGAGAGCUUCCAGAAGAAUAUGUAAUGCUGAGUAACAUAGACAAUGUAACUCAGAUCACAAGGCACAACUGUCUUCUUAACUCAGAUCAACAGACCACAAGUGUUAAGCCCAGUUGUGAUUUUGUGGCCUGAUGCCAACUUCUGUUUGCUGCCACAUCAUAGUUGGCUUUGCUUCUGGNNNNNNNNNNNNNNNNNNNNNNNNNNNNNNNNNNNNNNNNNNNNNNNNNNNNNNNNNNNNNNNNNNNNNNNNNNNNNNNNNNNNNNNNNNNNNNNNNNNNNNNNNNNNNNNNNNNNNNNNNNNNNNNNNNNNNNNNNNNNNNNNNNNNNNNNNNNNNNNNNNNNNNNNNNNNNNNNNNNNNNNNNNNNNNNNNNNNNNNNNNNNNNNNNNNNNNNNNNNNNNNNNNNNNNNNNNNNNNNNNNNNNNNNNNNNNNNNNNNNNNNNNNNNNNNNNNNNNNNNNNNNNNNNNNNNNNNNNNNNNNNNNNNNNNNNNNNNNNNNNNNNNNNNNNNNNNNNNNNNNNNNNNNNNNNNNNNNNNNNNNNNNNNNNNNNNNNNNNNNNNNNNNNNNNNNNNNNNNNNNNNNNNNNNNNNNNNNNNNNNNNNNNNNNNNNNNNNNNNNNNNNNNNNNNNNNNNNNNNNNNNNNNNNNNNNNNNNNNNNNNNNNNNNNNNNNNNNNNNNNNNNNNNNNNNNNNNNNNGGGAGUUAGGAUAUUCACCAGAUAUCCUUGCUGAUCCCAGACCAUAUACUGAAUUAAUUAAUUCAGUUUUCUACACACGUGCGAUGUCACAGACCUGAUGUCGUGACAUCGUACAUGACAUGUUGGUCCAGAUGUUGAAUUUCUUCAACCCAACAUAUUAAAACACCAGAGAUGAUUACAUUAUUUGUUUUCUAAAAUUAAUGCCAAUCCUAAGGAAUCAACAAUCAUCCUUUUCUUCAAAUGUUGGGGAUCUUUACGCUCUUGAUAAAAUAGACCCUCUAACUGAGUGUUAUUAGGUUUAUCUCUCAAGGGGAACCCAAGUUGACGACGGGCCAAUGUUGGGUUGUAGUUGAUUCCUCCCUGCGUACCAAUGAGAGGAACGUUAGAGAAAUCACCAUAACUAUCAAUAAUGACCAAGCUACCCAAUGCAGAAUCAUACCAAACAAUAUCAUCAUUAGUGAGAGACAUAAGUCUCUGGGACCACCGUAGACAUUGUCUGUUCUCUACGAAAGCAGGCGUCUGCGGCAAGUGCGAAAUAAACCACUUGUAUAGAAGAGGAACAACCCACACAAUAGUUCCACCACCUUUAGAAUUCCUCAAAUGCAAAGAGAAAUACAUGUCACCCAACAGAGUCGGAAUAGGAUUCCCAAUCAAGAAAAUUCUAAUGGUGUUAACAUCAACAAAACCGUCAAUAUUAGGGAACAAGGCCAAUCCACAAAUGAUCAGUACCAAGAUAGCUUCAAAAGCAUCCAUGCUACCAUCUUGAGCAAAAACAUUAGCUCUACCAAUGAGAAACUCAGAAGUUAACCCAAGAAUUCCUCCUUUCUUCACUAAAUGAGCAUCAAUCUCAUACUUCCUCAGGUAAAGAGCUUCAGCUAUAACAUGAGAUCUCGGGAUCUUCUCCAAUCCACUAAAAGGUACCUUGUUAGAUACGAGUAUACCCAAGAGAUGGGCAUACUCCUCCAACAUUUGAACAAGCUGAUAAUUUGGAAAACUGAAGCACCGGUAGAGAGGGUCAUAGAACUAAACCAAAACACUCAGAAGUCCUUCAAUCACAUCAGUAGAUAACACAGACAAGAGCUUCCCAUGACGUUGCUUGAAGUCCAAGGGAUCUAAUACAAAGGAUGACAACUUACUUAGCUCUUUCAAAUCAGGACAUCUGAAACUGUACUUCAUAGUGUUCCUUCGUCCAUAAUUCAUGGUCUGAAAAUAUUUGCAAAUAAGACCUUAGUUUCCUUGAAAUUUAUUUUUUUUGAUGAAUGUUAUAAUGCACAUGAAUGCAACAAUCACACACAAGGCAAACACAAACAAAGGUCAAGGGAUGGAUCAAGUCAUCACCAAGAUCAAUCAUCCAUUUUGGUGGAUUAUGGUUUUCACCUUAUCAACACCCAAGUUCCAUUGAUAUUGACAAGACUUGAUCAUAUCAACCAAGAAUUAAAGGGUUUGUUGU